rnacentral:tRNA from 1 species
UGUAAAAUAAGCUAAAUUAUAAGCUAUUGGGUUCAUACCCCAAAAAUGAAUGUGGAUUCUUUUACAA